AAGCGUUGAAGCAGGUUAUGUGUAUUUCUUUUUGUGUAUGACGUUUAGUUUGCAUCAGUUGUGUUCUUUCGUAUCGUAUCAUUCAUAUAAAUACCAACAAUUUAAAAACUAUUUAACCUCAAAAUGUGUAACGCUAGACGUGAAAUGAAGAUAGAAAAUAUGCCAUUGCACGCUGUUGUGGUUAUGUGCCGAAAAAAGUCUGAAUCUCGUACACUGUUUCGUUUGUCAAAUCGUGCACGAAAUAUCAAUCGAAAAAACAGCGGAAAAGUGACAUUUUCACUCGUUUGGCUUUACUAUUUGGAUUAGCCGAGGCUCGGUAUUCUAUCUGUCAUUCGCCAUUGUGUUAAUCUCGUGCUAAUGAAACGAAAACCUUUCGGAGUGAUGUUGUGAUGCAAAAUUAAAAGUGUAAAAAUAUAAGUGAAAAUGAGUCUCUCAGCGUGAAAAAAACCGAGUGUCAGUAGCGUGCGAUCGAGCACGGGUAUGGAACGGGGUUGGGGCUAGGAAACUCCAUCAGCGCACGCAACCGGUGCUCUUCAGAGCGUCGCUCGGAGCAGUCUCUAUUGAAGGAUCAUAUGUGGAAGCUAAUCCGAUUGGUUCAACCUUAGCCAGGCCGUUCAGACUUCCAGGAUUCAUUUCCAGUCACCUACACGAGUAAAACCGUGCCUGUACCAGUGCCCGCUCCUUGCCCGGCUCAUUUUCCUGUACAUAUACUACAUCCAAACGCUGUGCCCCAUCCGGCGGUUGAACCGACGCCUGUCCCUACGCUUCCCAUCACACCAGAAAUCUCAUAAGAUUAAGGUGACUUUCUGCCGUCCUGCAACAGUAAGGGGCACGAUGGUGACAUCAUGCUGCAGAAGGUGUACACCGGCCAUCAUCAUGGGCUCAGACUGCUAUGACUAUUUCUCCCAGUAAAUAAUAUUGUUUAUUUAUGUUACCUAAAUAAACCCACUUGAUACGCAAAUAAAACCACUAAAA